ACGUGAGCAACCUGCCCCGGACUCUGGGAUAAGCGCUGGAAACGGCGUCUAAUACUGGAUAUGAGACGUGAUCGCAUGGUCAACGUUUGGAAAGAUUUUUCGGUCUGGGAUGGGCUCGCGGCCUAUCAGCUUGUUGGUGAGGUAAUGGCUCACCAAGGCGUCGACGGGUAGCCGGCCUGAGAGGGUGACCGGCCACACUGGGACUGAGACACGGCCCAGACUCCUACGGGAGGCAGCAGUGGGGAAUAUUGCACAAUGGGCGAAAGCCUGAUGCAGCAACGCCGCGUGAGGGAUGACGGCCUUCGGGUUGUAAACCUCUUUUAGCAGGGAAGAAGCGAGAGUGACGGUACCUGCAGAAAAAGCGCCGGCUAACUACGUGCCAGCAGCCGCGGUAAUACGUAGGGCGCAAGCGUUAUCCGGAAUUAUUGGGCGUAAAGAGCUCGUAGGCGGUCUGUCGCGUCUGCUGUGAAAUCUGGAGGCUCAACCUCCAGCCUGCAGUGGGUACGGGCAGACUAGAGUGCGGUAGGGGAGAUUGGAAUUCCUGGUGUAGCGGUGGAAUGCGCAGAUAUCAGGAGGAACACCGAUGGCGAAGGCAGAUCUC
rnacentral:rRNA from 1 species